GACGAACGCUGGCGGCAGGCUUAACACAUGCAAGUCGAACGGGCGUAGCAAUACGUCAGUGGCAGACGGGUGAGUAACACGUGGGAACCUUCCUAGGGGUACGGAACAACUCAGGGAAACUUGAGCUAAUACCGUAUACGUCCGUGAGGAGAAAGAUUUAUCGCCCUUAGACGGGCCCGCGUCGGAUUAGCUAGUUGGUGAGGUAACGGCUCACCAAGGCGACGAUCAGUAGCUGGUCGAGAGGAUGAUCAGCCACAUUGGGACUGAGACACGGCCCAAACUCCUACGGGAGGCAGCAGUGGGGAAUAUUGGACAAUGGGC
rnacentral:rRNA from 1 species